UACAAUGUCGUCAUUUUCUUCCUCGGACAUGUCCAGCGGUUUGACUAGGUCGUCAUUUUCUGCCUUGGUAAUGUCCAGCGCUUUCACUAGGUCGUUAUUUUCAGCCUUGGAAAUGUCCAGCGCUUUCACAAUGUCGGAUUUUUCAGCUUUGGUAAUGUCCAGCGUUUUCACAAGGUCGUUGUUUUCAGCCUUGGUAAUGUCCAGCGCUUUGACAAGGUAGGAUUUUUCAGCCUUGGUAAUGUCCAGCGCUUUCACAAGGUCGUUGUUUUCAGCCUUGGUAAUGUCCAGCGUUUUCACAAGGUCGGAUUUUUCAGCCUUGGUAAUGUCCAGCGUUUUCACAAGGUCGGAUUUUUCAGCCUUGGUGAUGUCAAGCGCUUUCACAAGGUCGGAUUUUUCAGCCUUGGUAAUGUCCAGCGUUUUCACAAGGUCGGAUUUUUCAGCCUUGGUGAUGUCAAGCGCUUUCACAAGGUCGGAUUUUUCAGCCUUGGUAAUGUCAAGCGUUUUCACAAGGUCUUUGUUUUCAGCCUUGGAAAUGUCCAGCGUUUUCACAAGGUCGGAUUUUUCAGCCUUGGUAAUGUCCAGCAUUUUCACAAGGUCGGAUUUUUCAGCCUUGGUAAUGUCAAGCGUUUUCACAAGGUCGGAUUUUUCAGCCUUGGUAAUGUCAAGCGCUUUCACAAGGUCGGAUUUUUCAGCCUUGGUAAUGUCAAGCGUUUUCACAAGGUCGGAUUUUUCAGCCUUGGUAAUGUCCAGCAUUUUCACAAGGUCGGAUUUUUCAGCCUUGGUAAUGUCAAGCGUUUUCACAAGGUCGGAUUUUUCAGCCUUGGUAAUGUCCAGCGUUUUCACAAGGUCUUUGUUUUCAGCCUUGGUAAUGUCCAGCGUUAUCACAAGGUCGGAUUUUUCAACCUUGGUAAUGUCCAGCGUUUUCACAAGGUCGUUGUUUUCAGCCUUGGUAAUGUCCAGCGCUUUCACAAGGUCGUUGUUUUCAGCCUUGGUAAUGUCCAGCGUUUUCACAAGGUCUUUGUUUUCAGCCUUGGUAAUGU